UAUGCAAUGCAGCAUAGAUUGCUGGGUGACAUGCUAACUCAUGCAUACUAGCUCAUUUUUCUUACCAUAAAUGCCAUUUUGUGUCUUGUUUUCAACCUGCUGUAGUCCUUUUCUGCUAAGCUAGAUGUUAAGUGGGUUCGAUGCACAUUACAAGUUAUGAAUGUUUCUCCAGCCUUUAUACUGAAUCUGUAGUUGGGUUGAAGCAUGAAACAAAACUGUGCUGUAUACAAAACCAACAGAUUACAGUUUGUGGAAUUCUAACAUGGUCUUUAACAUUCAAAGGCAAAUGUAAAACCCUGAAAAUAAGAUUUAUGAGCUCUUAAACUUCCAAGCAUAUUCAGAGUCAAGGGAGUAAAUGAAAUAAUUAUCAAGAAUUAGAGUGCCUCACAAAAAUAUUCAUAACCUCUCAAUUUUGAAGGGCUUAGUGGUUUGUUAGAAAACAUUAGAGAAAAAAAGCACAUGAAUACCAAGCAACACAGUAGACACAGAGCAAAUUAACUGAACACAUACUUUAAUAGGUUCAGUUCAGGUUCAAAUUCAGCAUCCUCCUCUACUGCCCACAGCCAAACAGACAUCCCACCCUCAUUUGACCCACACCUUUCCUGUCACACCUCAAAUGUUGUAUACUCCAUCUCGUCCAUUGUCCUUCUGCUUCUACACCUUUGUCUUCCACUAAAAAUAGGCUGUGCACAUGAAUUCAGAGUCCUGAAGGCAUCUGAGGGAUUAUGGAGCCCCUCUUCAAACUUAGCCUGACCCAGAUGAAGGUUCCAGUGUUGUGGAAGACAUUCUGCCUUGUUCCACUACCAAAGAAAACUCAACAAUCCGUCCUUAAUGACUGUAGACCUUUUGCACUGACGUCCCACAUCACUAAGAUCCUGGAAAGACUGCUGUUUGCCCACUUAAGUUCAGUUUUGGACUCAGUUCAAGCUCCUUGAAGAACCUACCUGACCUCACCUCCGUUGCCAAGAUUUCCAGUCAGGCUUUGCUGGCAGCCGUUGGACUCCAUAACCUCAGCUUCUCCGAGCGAAACCUGUCCACCCUCCGGCGAGCAGCACCACUGGACCAAAUCAGUAAGGAAACAACGAAUCAAAGUUCUGAUCUGUGGAAAAGAUCAUUUAUCAAAGUGACCAGGCUUACCAAACUUACCAGACCUGGAAUAACUCCCCUCCGGCGAACCAGCGCCUGCAACAAACUCCGAGAGGUUCCAGUCCCAGAUCCCACCUCCAUCGGACCUGUGAACAAAUAAACAUGUUAAAC